CCUACGGGAGGCUGCAGUGGGGGAUAUUGCACAAUGGGGGAAACCCUGAUGCAGCGACGCCGCGUGAGUGAAGAAGUAUUUCGGUAUGUAAAGCUCUAUCAGCCGGGAAGAAAAUGACAGUACCUGACCAAGAAGCCCCGGCAAACUACGUGCCAGCAGCCGCGGUAAUACGGAGGAUGCGAGCGUUAUCCGGAUUUAUUGGGUUUAAAGGGUGCGUAGGCGGACUGUUAAGUCAGCGGUAAAAGCCCGGGGCUCAACCCCGGCGAGCCGUUGAAACUGGCUGUCUUGAGAUGUCGAGAGGUAUGCGGAAUGCGCAGUGUAGCGGUGAAAUGCUUAGAUAUUGCGCAGAACUCCGAUUGCGAAGGCAGCAUACCGGCGGCGAUCUGACGCUGAGGCACGAAAGCGUGGGUAUCGAACAGGAUUAGAUACCCGGGUAGUC
rnacentral:rRNA from 1 species